rnacentral:rRNA from 1 species
AUACGGAGGAUCCGAGCGUUAUCCGGAUUUAUUGGGUUUAAAGGGAGCGUAGGUGGAUUGUUAAGUCAGUUGUGAAAGUUUGCGGCUCAACCGGAAAAUUGCAGUUGAAACUGGCAGUCUUGAGUACAGUAGAGGUGGGCGGAAUUCGUGGUGUAGCGGUGAAAUGCUUAGAUAUCACUAAGAACUCCGAUUGCGAAGGCAGCUCACUAUACUGUGACUUACACUGAUGCUCGAAAGUGUGGGUAUCAAACAUGAGUAGGUACCCUGGUAGUCCACACCGUAAACGAUGAAUACUCGCUGUUUGCGAUAUACAGUAAGCCGCCAAGCGAAAUCAUUAAGUAUUACGCCUGGGGAGUACGCCGUCACCGGUGAAACUCAAAUGAAUUGACGUGG